rnacentral:lncRNA from 1 species
GGCUCUUCCUGUUUUUAAAAGAUUCAAGGCUCAUGUUGAAGAGGAAGCAGAUGUUUUCCUCAAACGUUUAAGGACUGAUAGAGGUGGUGAGUUCACCUCGAUUGAUUUUGAGGCAUUUUGUGUCCUAAAUUGUGACAAUUAAAACACUCAUCAGUAAAGUUGUUGAUGAGUGGGGCACCAGGACCUAUUCCUGGCAUUUUCCCUAUGAAUGUCCUCAAAGGGAUAUUGGAGCCAACUAUGCCGAACUAAAUGAAGAAGAAGAGCUGUUAUUGAUGUCGUAUGUUGAGCUUAACCAAGCACAAAGAGAAGAGAUUUGGUUCCUUGACUCCGGUUGUAGCAAUCACAUGAGUGGGAAUAAAGAAUGGUUCUCCGAUUUGGAUGUCCACUUCAGGCAAACCGUGAAGCUAGGGGAUAAUUCAAGGAUGUCAGUUAUGGGGAAGGGAAAUAUUCGGAUGCAAGUCAAAGGAAUCACUCAGGUAAUAUCUGAAGUUUAUUACAUACCUGAGCUGAAAAAUAACUUGUUGAGUAUGGGGCAGCUGCAAGAAAAAGGUGUGUCAAUUUUAAUUCAGCAUGGAAAAUGCAAAGUCUUUCAUCCUAGUAAGGGCCUGAUUAUUGAGUCUGAAAUGAGUGCAAACAGAAUGUUUGUUUUGCUUGCAAACAUGAAACCUGAAGUUACUACUUGUUUUCAAGCAGUAACAGAAAUGAGAAUUAUUUGUGGCACCGCAGGUUUGGGCAUUUAAGCUUCAAAGGCUUGAAAACUCUUCAAAACAAAAGGAUGGUGAAUGGUUUGCCUUCACUCACAGAACCUCAAAAGCUGUGCAUUACCUGUUUAGCCGGAAAACAACACAAGGAAGCUAUUCCAAAAAGAAGUCUGUGGAGGGCAACACAAAAACUUCAGUUGGUGCACGCUGAUAUAUGUGGUCCUAUCAAACCUACAUCAAAUAGUAAUAAGAGGUAUUUCCUAAGUUUUAUUGAUGAUUUCAGCCGUAAAACUUGGAUUUAUUUCUUAGAUGAAAAAUCGGAGGCUCUUACUGUUUUUAAAAGAUUCAAGGCUCAUGUUGAAAAGGAAGCAGAUGUUUUCCUUAAAUGUUUAAGGACUGAUAGAGGUGGUGAGUUCACCUCGAUUGAUUUUGAGGCAUUUUGCAAGGAAAAUGGCAUAUCCAGGCAAUUGACAGCAGCUUAUACUCCUCAGCAAAACGGAGUUGCAGAAAGGAAGAAUAGGACUGUGAUGAACAUGGUGCGAUGUAUACUAACAGAGAAGCAAGUUCUAAAGAUCUUUUGGCCAGAAGCAGCUAAGUGGUGUGUGCACGUCCUCAACAGGUGUCCUACCUUAGCCGUGAAAGAUCGAACUCCGGAGGAAGCAUGGAGUGGUGUGAAGCCUACUAUACAACAUUUCAGAGUUUUUGGUUGCUUGGCCCAUGUGCAUGUACCUGACCAGAAGAGAAUCAAGUUAGAUGAUAAAAGCUUCAAAUGUGUUUUGUUGGGAGUAAGUGAUGAGUUGAAGGCUUAUCGGUUGUAUGAUCCCAUUUCUAAAAAGAUAGUUGUUAGCAAGGAUGUCAUUUUUGAGGAGAAUGAAAAAUGGAAUUGGAAUAUGAGCAAAGAGGAAAAGGCCUUGGAUUUGCUGGAUUGGGGAGAUAUUGAGGAAGGAGAUGCAGUAGAAAAUGGAACACCUGGGGUAGAGGAGAACAGAAUAACACAAGCUGAUUCAAGUGGCACAAGCUUAUCAUCUCUUAAUCAAGCAACUGGUUCAUGUAGCAGUACACCGUCAUCUAACGACACAGAUGAUGGGAACUCUCAGAGUCAAGAUUGUUAAGAUUGUUUAAUGAUAUGAUGAGUAGUGGAGUUCAGCCAGAUGAAACUACGUGGGUCUCCGUGAUUUCUUCCUGUUCGUCAAAAGGUGAUCCUGAACUUGCAGAGUUGGUUGUGAAGUUGCUUGAUGGGAAGGGUAUAGUUAUGAAUUAUUAUGUGAAGACUGCGUUGCUUGAUAUGCAUGCAAAGUGUGGGAAUAUUAAGAUUGCUAAAAGGAUUUUUGAUGAGUUGGGUAAGAACAGGAAUGUUGUUAGCUGGAACGCCAUGAUUUCAGCCUAUACAAGAGCUGGAGAGUUGAAGUCAUCUAGGGAACUGUUUGAUAAAAUGCCUGAAAGAAAUGUUGUAUCUUGGAACUCUAUGAUUUCUGGUUACGCUCAAAAUGGACAAUCUGCAGAAGCAAUUCAGCUUUUCAAGCAAAUGAUUAGAACUGCUAAUUCUAAUGAUUUGAAACCAGAUGAGGUGACAAUGGCAGUUGUCAUCUCAGCAUGUGCACAUCUUGGCGCUUUAGAAUUGGGCAGUUGGGUGGUUAAAUAUAUGAUUGAAAACCACAUCAAGUUGAGUAUUUCAGGUUAUAAUUCUUUGAUCUUUAUGUAUGCCAAAUGUGGCAGCAUGAGAGAUACCAAGAGCAAGUGAUUAUCAGAGAGAGAGGGAGGGAGAACUUUUACGCGAUGGCUAGCUCAUUGAGAGCACGCGGGUCUCUGGUGGUACUAGCAAUCAUCUUCUUCGGAUGUCUCGUUGCAAUUUCCAUUGCAAAGGAAGAAGCC